rnacentral:rRNA from 1 species
GAUACGUCUUCUAGAGUUUGAUCCUGGCUCAGGACGAACGCUGGCGGCGUGCUUAACACAUGCAAGUCGAACGGAGCGAAAUGGAAGCUUGCUUCUAUGGAGCUUAGUGGCGAACGGGUGAGUAACGCGUAAUCAACCUGCCCUUCAGAGGGGGACAACAGUUGGAAACGACUGCUAAUACCGCAUACGAUUCAACUUCGGCAUCGAGGAUGAAUGAAAGGUGGCCUCUAUUUAUAAGCUAUCGCUGAAGGAGGGGAUUGCGUCUGAUUAGCUAGUUGGAGGGGUAACGGCCCACCAAGGCGAUGAUCAGUAGCCGGUCUGAGAGGAUGAACGGCCACAUUGGGACUGAGACACGGCCCAG